GCUAAGAAUAUUCCGCAAUGGACGAAAGUCUGACGGAGCGACGCCGCGUGGAUGAGGAAGGCCGAAAGGUUGUAAAGUCCUUUUGUCGAUGAAGAAUAAGUGGUGGAGGGAAUGCCAUCAUGAUGACGUUAGUCGGCGAAUAAGCCCCGGCUAAUUACGUGCCAGCAGCCGCGGUAACACGUAAGGGGCAAGUGUUGUUCGGAAUUAUUGGGCGUAAAGGGUACGUAGGCGGUUAUGUAAGCCCGGCGUGAAAUCCUGCAGCUUAACUGUAGAGCUGCGCUGGGAACUGCGUAACUUGAGUCAUGGAAGGGAAGUUAGAAUUCCAGGUGUAGGGGUGAAAUCUGUAGAUAUCUGGAAGAAUACCGGUGGCGAAGGCGAACUUCUGGCCAAUGACUGACGCUGAGGUACGAAAGUGCGGGGAGCAAACAGGAUUAGAUACCCGUGUAGUCC
rnacentral:rRNA from 1 species